CUAGAAUUCACGCUUUGAAGUAGACCUUCGUCACGAGCCAUAAGUCCUAAUUUGGAAGGAUUUUGAGUUGUUUGAGCGGCUUCAUCAAAUAGGUACUACAAAGGCUUUUCACAGAGGUUUGUGGCUUUGCUCUGUGAUCAGCUCUAGACGGAAGACUCGUAAUGCUGAUACCCAUGAGUCCCCUUCAUCAUCAUGUGCUGCCACACUUGCUACCCUGUGAGGGAGAGAAGGAGAGUACGCAACCUUGAUUACCGAUGCUCAGAGAUUAACCCUUAACCCUGCG
rnacentral:lncRNA from 1 species